rnacentral:rRNA from 1 species
AGAGUUUGAUCCUGGCUCAGGAUGAACGCUGACAGAAUGCUUAACACAUGCAAGUCAACUUGAAUUUGGGUUUUUAACUUAGGUUUGGGUGGCGGACGGGUGAGUAACGCGUAAAGAACUUGCCUCACAGUUAGGGACAACAUUUGGAAACGAAUGCUAAUACCUGAUAUUAUGAUUUUAGGGCAUCCUAGAAUUAUGAAAGCUAUAUGCGCUGUGAGAGAGCUUUGCGUCCCAUUAGCUAGUUGGAGAGGUAACGGCUCACCAAGGCGAUGAUGGGUAGCCGGCCUGAGAGGGUGAACGGCCACAAGGGGACUGAGACACGGCCCUUACUCCUACGGGAGGCAGCAGUGGGGAAUAUUGGACAAUGGACCAAGAGUCUGAUCCAGCAAUUCUGUGUGCACGAUGAAGUUUUUCGGAAUGUAAAGUGCUUUCAGUUGGGAAGAAAAAAAUGACGGUACCAACAGAAGAAGUGACGGCUAAAUACGUGCCAGCAGCCGCGGUAAUACGUAUGUCACAAGCGUUAUCCGGAUUUAUUGGGCGUAAAGCGCGUCUAGGUGGUUAUGUAAGUCUGAUGUGAAAAUGCAGGGCUCAACUCUGUAUUGCGUUGGAAACUGUAUAACUAGAGUACUGGAGAGGUAAGCGGAACUACAAGUGUAGAGGUGAAAUUCGUAGAUAUUUGUAGGAAUGCCGAUGGGGAAGCCAGCUUACUGGACAGAUACUGACGCUGAAGCGCGAAAGCGUGGGUAGCAAACAGGAUUAGAUACCCUGGUAGUCCACGCUGUAAACGAUGAGUACUAGGUGUCGGGGGUUACCCCCCUCGGUGCCGCAGCUAACGCAUUAAGUGCUCCGCCUGGGGAGUACGCACGCAAGUGUGAAAC